rnacentral:rRNA from 1 species
GACGAACGCUGGCGGCGUGCUUAACACAUGCAAGUCGAACGGUGAUGGGUGGAGCUUGCUCUGCUUUGAUCAGUGGCGAACGGGUGAGUAACACGUGUGUAACCUGCUCCAGACUCUGGAAUAACCCCGGGAAACCGGUGCUAAUACCGGAUAUGACACAGAAUCGCAUGGUUUCUGUGUGGAAAGUUUUUCGGUUUGGGAUGGACUCGCGGCCUAUCAGCUUGUUGGUGAGGUAAUGGCUCACCAAGGCGACGACGGGUAGCCGGCCUGAGAGGGCGACCGGCCACACUGGGACUGAGACACGGCCCAGACUCCUACGGGAGGCAGCAGUGGGGAAUAUUGCACAAUGGGCGCAAGCCUGAUGCAGCGACGCCGCGUGAGGGAUGAAGGCCUUCGGGUUGUAAACCUCUUUCAGCUCUGAAGAAGCGAAAGUGACGGUAGGAGCAGAAGAAGCACCGGCUAACUACGUGCCAGCCGCCGCGGUAAGAC